GCUUCGAGAGGAUCAACACCUUUUCUAACUUUUGCUUUUUACCAUAUUCUAGUUCCUUUUUUGUUUCACCCUCUGACAGAGAGAAGCUGAGUGGGAACAGGCUGCCACAUUUUUGUAGGAUAUAUCAUCCAACUGGUGAAUCACCCAGGCCCUUGAUUUGGCUUACUAUUUAACUUUUUUUUUUUUCUUUUUUUUUUUUAGAUGGGCUGUCACUCUGUCAACCUAGGCUAGAGUGCAGUGGUGCAACUUUGGCCUGCUGCAGCUUCAACCUCAUGUGCUCAAGCAAUCCUGCUACCUCAGCCUCCAGAGUAUGGGACUACAGACUGAGUGACAGCAUUGGACAAAGAUGUGUGGAGCAGGAUGGUAGCUGGAGGAGUGCCAGAGAGAGACCCGGGAUCUCACCAAGGUUACAGUGUCUGUGGCUUUGCGAAGAUUCCUCCUAAAAUUCUGCUCAUGGAAGGAUUUCAAAGAAAGACUGAGUGAACUUGUUCCUGAGAAUGCUUGAAGGGACGGGGAAACAUUAAAAAAUAAAGACUGGGUUAUUGGAAA